AAAUGCACGAAAAAUUCUUGCUGUGCCUGAACAAGACUUUAAUUGCCUCCAGGGAACAAAGAGGAAGAAACUGAGCAGCCGUAAAGAUGAUGACAGUGCCAGUUUGGGAGAAGUGAGUGACAAAAUAGAAGAGUUGGUGUUGGCAUCUCAAAGUCUGCCAGCUGUCACAGCA